rnacentral:rRNA from 1 species
GACGAACGCUGGCGGCGUGCCUAAUACAUGCAAGUAGAACGCUGAAGGAGGAGCUUGCUUCUCUGGAUGAGUUGCGAACGGGUGAGUAACGCGUAGGUAACCUGCCUGGUAGCGGGGGAUAACUAUUGGAAACGAUAGCUAAUACCGCAUAACAGUAGAUAUCGCAUGAUAUCUACUGGAAAGUUUCAAUUGCAUCACUACCAGAUGGACCUGCGUUGUAUGAGCUAGUUGGUGAGGUAACGGAUCACAAAGGCGACGAGACGUAGCAGACAGGCGAGGGGGAGCGGCCACACUGGGACUGAGACACGGCCCAGAGUCCUACGGGAGGCAGCAGUAGGGAAUCUUCGGCAAUGGACGGAAGUCUGACCGAGCAACGCCGCGUGAGUGAAGAAGGUUGUCGGAUCGUAAAGCUCUGUUGUAAGAGAAGAACGAGUGUGAGAGUGGAAAGUUCACACUGUGACGGUAUCUUACCAGAAAGGGACGGCUAACUACGUG